GUCGUUACUUUACUUCCUUCAAAAUCGUCUUCUUUUACUUUACUAAAAAAUGAACGUCAUAUGCUGAUUGUUUUUGUGCCUGACGUCUCUAUAUAUUUCAUCAAUUCGCAGAAGCCAAUCCUCACCUCGCAAGAGAGAGUAACAGAAACAAAGAAAGAGGAUUACGGGGAAAAAAAGAAAUCUUUAUUUCUGGUUACAAAUUUGGUUUGCAGGUGUAAGCAACAAAACAUCUGAUAGAGGAAGAGGCAAUGACACUAAAGAGUAAAGAACAGAGGAGUCUGCAGCUUCCCUACCAAGAAAUAGCUCCUCUUGCUUAGCCGACAUACCGUAUGUAAUCCUCUGUUUCUUUCCACAGUUGCUUGCGUUCUGCUUCAAUCUCUUCAUAUUUUUUCCUCACUUGUCUCUGUCCCUCUUUUAUGCAUUUUUGUACCUCACUGAUUUCUGCCAUCUCUGCUCUUAGCCUCUUAAUACCAGCCUUUAUUUCCCCAUUUAAUUUUCUCUUCUGCCAAAACUGCAACGUUAUACUGCAUUUCUGCACUAAUUAACACUACCUACCUAUGUUACUUUCCAUUAAUCUGCCUAUGAAAGCUUGAGACAAUCCCCGUACAGCUUGUACUUCAUUAUAAAGAAAAUAAUAUGGCACCCAGCAAGCAUUAUUAGGCCCCAAGUCUGUCAGUUCCAAGUUGCAUAUUGUUUCCAUGUUUUCUGGAAACUAGCUUUAAAGAGCAUCCACAUUUAAAUAUCACCGUGGACUUACUUCAAGAACAGCGGUCCAAUACUGAUUGGUCAAAGAUGAGCAAUUAACGAUGACGCAGCAGACAGAGUCUGUCACUAAAGAAUAGAGGACUCUGCAGCUUCCAUUCCAAGAAACAAGUACACAAUUUGUAAGCAGAGAAGUCGUCUCCCAAUAGGAACAUCACGCAGGCGAAAUCGGUUAGGGCAGAAGAGAAGAUUACACGGGAAAAUAAAAGAUUGUAUUAAGAGGCUAAGAGCAUGGCAGAAAUCAGUCAGGAACAAAAAUGAAUAAAAGAGGGGCAGAGGCAAGCGAGGAAAAAAUAUGUAGAGAUUGAAGCAGAGCGCAAGCAACUGUGGAAAGAAACAGAGGAUUAUGUAUGGAAAGCAGGGCAAGUCAGAGGAUUUGUUUCUUGGCAGGGAAGUUGCAGAGUCCUCUGUUGUCAUUGCCUACUCCACAAUCAGAUGUUUUGGUACUUACACCUGCAAACCAAAGUUUUAACCAGAAAUAAAGAUUUUUUUUUAUGUUCCUCUUUUUUCUUUUUUGCUUCUGUUACUCUUUCUUACAAGGUGAGGCUUGGCUUCUGCGAAUUGAUGAAGUAA